rnacentral:rRNA from 1 species
GUGGGGAAUAUUGGGCAAUGGGCGCAAGCCUGACCCAGCAACGCCGCGUGAGGGAAGAAGGCUUUCGGGUUGUAAACCUCUGUCCUUGGUGACGAAGCAAGUGACGGUAGCCAAGGAGGAAGCCCCGGCUAACUACGUGCCAGCAGCCGCGGUAAUACGUAGGGGGCGAGCGUUGUCCGGAAUUACUGGGCGUAAAGGGUGCGUAGGUGGCCUUUUAAGUUGGAUGUGAAAUACCCGGGCAUAAGUAGGGGGGUGCAUGUAAUACUGGGAGGGUAGAGUGCGGGAGAGGGAAGCGGAAUUCCUAGUGUAGCGGUGAAAUGCGUAGAUAUUAGGAGGAACACCAGUGGCGAAGGCGGCUUUCUGGACUGUAACUGACACUGAGGCACGAAAGCGUGGAGAGCAAACAGAAUUAGAUACCCCGGUAGUCC